AUGGAGAGUUUGAUCCUGGCUCAGGACGAACGCUGGCGGCGUGCUUAACACAUGCAAGUCGAACGAGAAGAGA
rnacentral:rRNA from 1 species